AAUCACUUUACAGUCUUGUUAUGGGAAAAAUGUUCAAACAAGACACAGACUUUAAUGCAUCAAAUGCAGUUACAAGUGUCUGGAAAGCUGUGCUGAGGAGUCCAGUUGUCCGCAGUGAUAUGUCAGCUGUCAGGACAGAUCAUAACUGGAUUCAGCCUUGAUAUUAGCCACACAGCAGGAUGUUCACUUAGGUUACAGUAUCUAAAAGAAUAACUAAAUCUCAUGUGGUUUUAUCCAUUACAAUAGCUCUGACAGAGCCAGUUUUGCCUCAGGGCUGUGAAGUCCUGGUGCCAAUAUGAAAGAGAACGGCUGAAGAGCCUCGGAGAACCAAGAAUUACUCUCUCUCCAUUUUCUCUCUCUUUCCUCCCUCUACUGGCAGACAGAAUAAAAUCAUAAAGCAUUUAAAGUUUUCUUUUGGUCUUCAAAGAUGUCUGAAUCUGUAAUUCAGCAAAACUUCCAUCCCUGACUCAUCUGAGCACAAAUAGGUGCCUCAAAGGCCUGCCCACAGUUUCCUUGCUGCUCUGAGGCUAGCCUUGGCUUCAGCCCUGGGCAAGCAUCCAUCACAGGAAUGCUAUAAAAGGGUCAGGGUCCACGAGUGUCUUAGACAGAAAAUAACCCAAGAGGGAGCCUGGUGCAACUGGCUGCCUGAGGCCAGGCUGACUAUUAUCAUCCCAGAAUUGCCGAGGUGUGAAGGCACCUCUGGAGGUCUCCAGGCCAAUCCUUGCUCAGAGCAGGGUCACCUAAGACAGGUUGCCAAGGGCUGUUUCCAGCUGGGUUUUGAAUAUCUCCAAGGAUGUAGACUCCACAACUCUUAUGGGGCAGCCUCUUUGCAGUCUGACCAUCUUCAUGGUAAAAAAGCUUUUUCUUAUAUUUAAUUGGAAUUUCCUGUAUUUUGCUUUGUGCCCAUUGCUUCUUAAUCUUUGAUUGGGCACCACUGAGAAGUACCUGGCUGUGUCUUCUUUACUCCCCUGACAUGGAUAAGAUCCCACUGAGCCUUCUCAUCUGCAGGCUGUACUGGUGCAUGGGGUUGCUCCUCCACAGGUGCUGGACUUUUCACUUCUGCUUGUUGAAAUCCAUUAUGUUCCUGUCAACCUGUUUUUGUUAGGUCCCUCUUGAUGGCAGCACAACCUUCUGGCAUACCAACCACUCCUCUCAAUUUUGGAUCAUCUGAGGGUGCACUCUUCCUCCUCAUCCAGGUCAUUAACAAAGAUGUUAAACAAGUAUUAGUCCCACUUUUAGCCCCUGGGGUAUGCUGCUAGGAACUGGCCCCCAGGUGGAAUGGAAAAAGAAGAAACACAUCUUCUUUAGAAGCUGUGUGUUGUCCUAUGUACUGCACAGAUCAAGGACAAGAAAAUGCUGUUGGUUUCCAUACAUGAGUGGAUUUAUGGAGCUGUGAUAAAGGGAUGGAGCUCCUGAGCAACAACAGUUUCAUUGCUUCCUGUCUGGGAGAAAAAAAUGGCCAAUGUCCUUUGCUUCCAACUCAGCUAGUGUGGGAGAUCCUGAUGAACUCUUUCACUAGCAGUUUUCCUCAGAUCUUGAGAUCUUACUAUACAACCACCAAUAACAUUGCUUGGAAACACACCACAGGCUUCAAUACAUAUGCACCUCAGCCACCUGUAUCAUACCUGCCCCCUUGAUACAACAUUUUUUGGACUAGAAGAGUCACUGUUAAUGAAAAUACAACCUGUGUCAUUCUCUUCCUUCCAGAAGCUUCUGAGGGUGCUAACAGCAAAAUUUGUAAAUAUCCAGUAUUGGUGUUAAAUGAUUUUACACCCCAGAGUUUUAGACUUCUCCAUCUGUAUUGCCUACUGGCUUAUAUCUUCUGAAAUGCAAUCUCUGAGUAUAAAAUUAGAUGAUAUAGCAGCUAACACUUUUUUAAAGGUCUUCUCCUGCUGAAAGAAUGCCUGUCCAGCUGCAUUAAGAGAAAUAUGACCCUUUUAAAUCUACUUACUCCCCCCGACAGAAGAAAGCUAUAUUCUGUUCUGCCUUAGUCAAUUUAGUAGCAGCCAUUUCAAAAACAGCCUUCAGCAUCUUAAAAGAAACCAUGCUGUUGACAAAGCUGCUAAAAAAAAGGCCCUCAUAAAAUGCACGAGUAAUAAAAGGUAUUCUCUUGAAACAGCUUGUGAAAUAAUGGGAGGUAUACUGGACUGAAGUUAAAUUUUGCUGUUUGAUUACUGACACCUCAAUGAAAAGGUUUUUCUCUCUUUCCUGGUCUGUAUGGGAGUUAUUUGGAACAGAUUUGCUUUAGAUUUAGUACACUUUUAAAACUGACAGUGUAAGAAGCCAUCUUUAAUCAUCUCCUUCACCAUUAGGAGAGCUCUUAGUCUUUCUUCCGAGCUUCUUUGAAGUUUUUAAUCUGUUGCAGACUGGAUGGUUCACAGCUUCUCUUCUGAGUGACAUAGAAGGAACCUGUGUAUUGUGGUAAGAUGCAGUUCUCGUAAGACUUCUUUAAAUCCUCUGUAUAGAAGGUUCACCUCCUUAUUGGAAUCUGUUAAUCUACAACACCUUUGGCCAUGUUUUAUAUGGCUAUUUUAAUGUAGCACUAAAUAGUCUCUAACUCUGCUUCUCCCCAAACUGCAGUUCUUCAAAGGACAAUAGCUCUGCUUCCACAGAUCAUAGAUAAUCCCAUGCACUAAGGAGGAAUAUGCCACCCAGGGAUCCAGUUGUUUAGGACUGCCAUAAUUAUUUACUAUCACAAUACUUGCAGGUCUGAGGUUUUUUCUUUUUUUAUUAUUUGUUUAUUUCUGCAAAGGUUUAUGGGAACACAGUUCAAUCAUCACUUUGCCAAAAUAAAAAUUAAAUAUCUCCAUUCUAAUCUGAAAGUAUUGCAGUGAAGGGGUGCCAGUAGGGUGUUUACUCACAGGAAUGUAAUGUCAUAAGCAGUGGUAAUAAACUAGUUGGCUUUUUUUGUCCUGGGUAAAUAUACAAUGCAAGUGAUGCAGAUGGCCCCUCAAACUCUGGUAUCCUGGCAUGCCUGUUUAUGGUGUCAAAAAGCUGAAUCCUUUGGAAACACCUGCAGAAGAAGGAAUAUGAAGGAUUUUGCAAUGGAGUGGUGUCCAUUGGAUGACAUAUGAUGAAAAAAUGCCCAAGUGCUAAUCAAGGUUAGUUAUUCUCCAAGCACAUUAUCCAUCAGGGGUAGCUCAGAACUUAUGGACUGCCAUGUUAAGUGCUGCAAAAGUAAUCCCUGGAGGACUAAGCAAAAGCCAUGGCUAUUUCUUACCCAUGUAAGAGAUUUUGAAAACUGUUUUCCAAUCAUAGGGCUGGUGUGUUUCCAUUACACUUGCUUUCCAAGAGAUCCAGCUGCGUAACUAACUGCACUGGAAAAGCAGAUUUGGCAUUUUGUUGGAAUAGCCAGGUGCUGACUUUGCUGGGAAUAGUGAUGGAAACCUCCCUGUUACUUAUGCAUUCUGCAAAGCAUCGUAUCUGAGUGUUGCAGGCAUGGGAAAUACCCUCCAACAUGUGGGAUUUAGGAAGCUGUUACAAUCAACUCAGCAAUAACCUCUUCCUUCUCCCUUUUCUCUUUCUAGAGGUACGAGUCUUUCAGUCCAGGAAGCCUGAUGCUGUUUGGCAUGUGGUCUUUGUACUUCUUCAGGUUAAAAUUAACCAAGAGUUACCCCAUUUUUGUAUUCUUUUGUUUAGAAAAAAGCUGUGAGAGUCCUGUCCCUGCCUGUCAUUUCUCAAAACCUUGGUUUGGUUUCUUGGAAAUGAGCACUUGCCCUUCCGGCAAUAUCAGUUAUCCAGAAUUCUUCUCAUCUGGGUGAUAACAGCACUUGGCUGCAUACUCUGGGACAUGAGGGUCAAUGGACUUGGCUCUCAGCAACUUGGAGGCCAAAAAUCUGCCAGGCACAGGAUUGGAAACCUAGAUCCUACUAAGAGAGCAAGAGCCAAGACCUUUUGGAGAUUGCUACCUUUAAGGUACAAAAGAAGAGUGUCAGGUACUGGAUGUCAUCUGCAUAACCUGACUCUGGAAGGGGGGAUGUUACUGGGGAAAAGUGGGACCUGCAAAUAGAAUGAGGUGGCUUGGCUGUACACCAGCUGCUGUGUGCACAUCUGAAGGGCUGUGUGGCUUUGCUGGGAAGCAGUGUGAUGUCCUGGGUAAAACAUGGAGGUGGCACUAGGAAUCCUGCAUGGUCCAUCAGACCCUGCCUAAAUGAGAAUUUCUCAGAGGGAAGGAAGUGUAUUCAAUGCAGAGUGGGUUUAAGUUUGGUUUCCAAAGGAAAAAAAGCUUGUGCAAGCACAGCAUUUUUGUCUGCCCAUGUUUGCUGUCACUUUACCAAUUCUUCCCUCAUUAUUUGUCAACUCAUUUACCUAUUUAACCAGGUUUGACUGGGGGACGAUGGUGCAGAAGAUACAAAGUGGUGGCUGGGUCAUGGAGUGACAUAAUGACAGUACUUCCAAACGAGUGCCACCACCAAGGGAAAGGCUUACAUUUUGCUACUAGUCAUUAGCCCCUACGCAUUAGCUGUACAGUCCAGCUCAAAGCACUCCCAGCAGAUGUGGUUUCCAGCCCAGCAAGGAAAGAAUAAAAGGCUAGAAGUAUAGCAGGAAAAGGGAUAGAUUGAAGGGUGCUGUGAGGGGUGUGAAGAGGUAUGAAGGGGUUAGAAGAAGAUAAGGGACGAGAAAGGAAUGGGAAUUAUGUGACUGAAUGGGAAAGCCAGCUUAAUUAGUUGUGCUCUCACAGAGGUUCUUGCUGUUUGCAUCAGUGGCCUUUGGGCUGCAGUUUCAGCUGUCAGAAGUUGCUAUGUUUCCAGAAGAAAGGAAGAGGACCAAAUAAUUUACAUUUAUUUUCUAUUUGUCCUGAUCCACAUUCUGGCAUCUGCAAAUCUAGGUUUUCCUUUAGGCCACUUUUUCUGUCUUCAUUUCCCUUUUAUGAAGGUCUGCAGAGUAACAGAGACAUUCUUCCUGCUUCCUUACUCUGAAAUGUCACUAUGUCCGCUUUUUGGUAUCUGUGAUACCUCCUGUCAUUUUUCACCAGGCUUUUUUUCUGUGUUUGUAUCCUUUUUUUAUCUUUUUUCUCCUUUUCUAUAUUCUGUUGUUCCUUCAUUUCAUGCUUGCCUUUUUUCUGCCUCUUGUCUUCCUGUCAUCUGCCACUUCCAUUUUGAAGUUACUCUCUUCAUCUACCAACUGAAAGGGCAGGUCCAACUAGAUCAGACAUCCAGCCAUUCAAAAAAGGACUCAUACAGAAAAGUCAGAUUUAAAUCUUUCAUACAGGAUUUUUUUUCUGGGCACUACACUCAAAUUGUUGUUCUUAUUCUUAAAUAUGACCCCUCUUCCUCUCCAAGGAGCUAUAACAUGAAAAGAUGCUUACACAAAUAGGCACCCACCUGAACACCACUAACCUGGGCUUAUUUCCUCAUACUUCUUUUUAAAUGAAAACCUACUGGCUGCCUUGAAAGAUAUUGUCUAAACAAGCACGUAACAGUCCCUUAGAGAGAUGAUCUCUCCAGGUUUAUACAAAUUCAUUACUCCAUCACUCCACCCACUUCUAAGAAAAGGAUUUUUCCGUAUUUUCUUCUCUUCUGCAAAGCACUUUUCCCACAGAUUAUUUUUAAACCUUCACUACAAAAAAUAAAAUAAAAAAUCGACAAAAAUUAAGUAAUAAAAUUAAAUUAUCCUGAUUUAGUCAUGUUAAGGGGCACAGUCAGACUACGUGAAAUCUGUUCUUUAAUGUCUAGCCAUGAUGGGAAUGAUCACAUAAAGGCAGAUGAAACAAAAAAAAAAGGUGAGUGGAGAGGUGUGUUUAAAAGGUUUGGUAAGCACUAUCCCAUGGAGGUAUCAGGUCAGCUAGCUGGUUUGACUGAAUGGCUGGGGUUUUCCUUAGGACUGGCUGCUCCCAGGGUAAGUUUUGGGGAUCCACAAGCGAGCACAGUAUUCUUGUAGCAUCAUUCCCCACCCAUAUGAAUGCACUGCAACCUCUCAGGACACUCUUGAGCUUCUGCUCCUUCAUCCAAAUGGGAGAAAUCACAGUCCCAAAAGGAGCUCUUGGGUUUUACAGGCUGCUAGGCUGGCCUGGUAGUAGGUUAGGUGUUUAGAUGGAAUGUCAGCAUUAAAUAUUUUCUCACCUUUAGACCAGUUCACCUCUUCAUUGUCUUAAGAUGCAGACAGUUUUAUGCCUAGCUAGGAAAAAGAACUGAGGAUAUCAAGUAUCUGCACUUUUAAACACUACCAGCCAUUUCUCCAAAUUUAUUACAGCAAAUUGCUGAUGGAGGAAAAAACAGGAUUUACCUGCAUACAUAUAAAUAAUAUUUCUGCUACUUACUUCUUCAGACCUCUGAAGAUUUGGCUUUCUUCCCUCUCUCUCUCUUUCCCCAUCCUGCAUCUGAAAUCUGCCUUAUUUCUUCCUGCACUACCUUUGGUGUCUAGACUCUCUCUUUCGUGUUUCAUUACAACAGUGUUGUUUUCCCUCACCCACUGGCUGUUCCUUUUAACAGUGGCUUUCAUUUGGAAGGAACUUCAGCUCUGAAAUACCCAGGAGCUCCUGAUCGUUAGAUCCUACAGCCCAGGUUGUUAGGUUUUUCUCCCACUUCAGACUUGUACCCUCCAAAAAAGCACUGCUCUUUUACAGGGAAGCAACUUAAAUGCCACACAUCAUCAUGCCCCACCACUGAGAGUCCCAAGGUAAGUCAGGGACUGCAUUACUGUGUAUCUCCUCCCUGGUACUGAGAGAGCCGUAAAUACACAUGCUAAGAGUUGAGACAGAUUAUAUUUGGGAAGUGCUGCCUUGGGUGUGAAUUAGUCUUUACUAAUGUUUCUUUAGGUUUUUGUAGGGAUAAAUUUGACUUUUCUUGUUGACACUAAGAUCUCCUGAUUUUGUGGAAGCAUGAGGCACCCACAACCCCUCCUCUCAACUCAAUCAAAUGUGAUAUAUUUUAUAUAAGUAAUGUUAAAUAAAUGCAAUUUUAAAAAAACAAACACAUCAAACCCAGUUCUAAAAGUUGCUGCUCAGUACUGUGACCUGAAAGUAGGGGUUGGUAAAAUAUUUGAUUGAGUUGUCUUUAUCUUAUUGUUGAUUUUUCAUGUUCAAAUUGUGUGACUCAUACGCUUAAACUUCCCUCUCCAUACACAGUUUCCUUGCAGAAAUCAGAGCAAUGUGAGCAGAGCUGCCUGCUCCUUGAGGUUCUGGUCAUGGUGCUGAAUGAGCAUCACUUUCUGGUUGGUGGCCAUUUGUCCUGGCGGUGACUGGGUGGUGUGGAAGUGUCUGCCAGUUGUCCUAGACCCUGCAGCCCUAUGGGUGUGCACAUGCCUCUGUGCCAACCUCUUCCCCGUGGCCUGUGUUUUGUUUUGCCCAUUUCUCCUGUGGCUUGCCUUCAUGUCAGGUUGCAGUGAGAGCUGUUGGACACGGGACCUUUUGUAGAAGACAUCUCCUGGGCUAGAUGUUCUCUUCUCCCUCCUGGGAUGCACUCUUUUUUGCUGGACUGCAGAUGAACCGUAUCACUUUAGUCCAUGUGUUUUAAGGUUGUGAACCACUGCGAAAGACUGGAGAUGCACCCUGUAACUUGGAAAAAACCUCUGGAUCAGGAUUGGUAACGAGCAGAAGGAUUUAUAUGAAAGUUCACCCUAGAAAGCCUGCAGUGGGAACGUCUUCUGGGAGCAGAAUGCAAGCACGACUUGUGUGUGAAAUUACAUCAAGAGACACCAAACUGGAGAAAAAAAGAUGGAUUGCAUACUUAACGCUGGCAUGGAAAAGGAAAAUCUGGGUGUAUACUUGCAAUAUCUGGAACAUGAAAUCGUGGCAGUGGUUUUAAUUACUUACAGAAUCUAGCAGUUUGGAGACUAGAGACAUUCCCAGUUAGUGGCUGUAUCACAGACAUGAAGUUACUAUACCAAUUUUGACUGCAUUUUUGCAACCAUAUAGUGGAUUUUGAACAUUUAGUCAUGUGUUCUGGACAUUUCUGCUUUUAGCUCUCUGUUCAGCCAAGAUUUGAUGUUGUAUAUGAGGCAUAUCUAACAUGUUAAUGAAAAAAUAAACUUAUUAAUUCCA